rnacentral:snoRNA from 1 species
CAAAAAAGAGGAUUACUCCAACAAGACGGACUGACACAGCAGCUGCAACAAUUGGCUCAAGCAUGACCAGGAUUG